GUUUUUUAGCGCUAGCUCGUAGUUUAACACCCGCCCGAAUUUGUAAAUGAAUAAAUGAAUAAAAUAAAUCAAACCAAUAAAACCGACCUGAAGAACAAAACCACGGGAGGCGUAUUGAACACGGGAGGCUUAUCAAACGUACGGCCCCAGAUUUGGAGGCGUUGCCCGGCGCGGCAAUAUUCUAAAAAACUUUUCCUGCGCAACAGAGAGCAAAUCGAAUAAUUACGACCGACAGAAAGAAGAUCGGCGUGCGACGCAGUCAGCUGCGUCACGAGGGAUUCGACUUUGCAGGACUGUACAAAAAAGACACCGGAGUAAAAUGGACGGCGUCAAAGGUCAGCAGUCGGAAUCUGGCGGUGAGACCCCGUGUGGAUUAGGAGAAAUAAAUGUGCCAGAAAAGA